rnacentral:lncRNA from 1 species
CCCCCGCCCACCGCCUCAGCAACCAACCUCCAGGGAGGGGAAAGGGGGCAGAAGUUUGAGUUAAUAACUAAUAGCUAAAGAUGUAAACAAUAAGCCUCCAUAAAACCCCAAAAGGACUGGACUGGUUUCUGAGAGCUUCCAGGUUGUUGAGCACGUGGAGGUUCUGGGAGGGUCCACACCCAGAGAAGGCAUGGAAGCUGACCCCUUCCCCAUACCUUGCUCUUUGCAUCUCUUCCAUUUGGCUGUUCCCGAGUUGUAUACUUUGUAAUAAGUGGGAUUUCCACCCAACAACAAUUCAGCCACACUGCUUCACACAUCUAGAAUCCAUCCAAAAUUGUAAAGGCUUUGUGGCACUACAGUGAAACAGGCAAGAACAUCUUCCAAACAUCCAGCACAAGAGCACACAGGAGGCCGGCAUAAUCACGAAUUGCAGCUGUCUGAAGGGCAGUCACAUAAAAGAGGAGAAGCUUCACCUUUGCUUCACAAGGCACAUCUUGAACCAGGGAUGGAAAUUACAGAGAGGCCAAAACCAGCUCGGUGUGAGCAGGACUGGUAACAGACUGGCCAAGCAACAGAAGGGGCUGCCCUGUGAAGAAGCAAGCUCUCUGUCAAUGGGAGGUGCAAGCUGAGCCUGCACUACCUUUUGUCACGGUUGCUAUGGAAAAGAUUAAGAGCCCGGGCUGCUUGAGUGUCUGCAUGACAUGGCAGCUGGCUCCCUGAAGAGCACGUGAUCCGAAAGAGAGAGCAAGACAGAAGCGCAGUGUCUUCAACAGCAUAUCUUUGAAAGUCAUAUUCCACCGUUUUCACUACAUUCUAUUGAUAAGAUAGCCCUUCCUCCUCUGGGGGCCUGGGCAUCAGCAAGUCGGAUGGCAGUGGAAGGUGGAGAAAUGGAAUCCUGCUGGGGGCUCAGGAGGCCUGCCCCCUGAUGCUGCCGUGCACUGCAGAUGUCCUUGAUGAAGAGAAUGAAUGGAAGCUGUCUUUCUCAAUGGCAAAAGGGCAUACUGCUGUUAUUGUCAGUGAGGGGUCAGUAGUUUAAAUGAUGAAACUCUGGGGAUCAGCGUAAAGUAAACCAACAUACUGCAUGUAAAUUCCUCAUUCUUACUGCUGUGAGAACAAUUGUUAGGAGCCAAAAACUUCAGAGCUUUCAAAGAACUGUAAUGAGAUAGCACAAUGCAGGCAAAAAGCCAGUGUUAACGGAGCAAGAAACUUCCCAGUUCUGACAUUCACAGCAUGACCUAGAGCAUGCGGAUUCCCCUCUCUGAGUCACUGGUUUCUCACCUGCAAAAGAAAGCGGGGACAGGGAAGGAGGAAGAAGCUUCGAGAGGCUGGAACAGUUGAGGGAGCGCUGACACGGUAAAGGCCACUUUGCUCAUCAUCACCAGGCGUGCUGCCGAAAAUUUCCACUCUGUUUACUCCCAAGACCUUACUCCUACUAUGUGGAGACACAUUUGAAUAAAAAAUUGGCCUCUUUUCAAAGUCAAAA